CUGAGUGGGAUUAGGACUGCAGAAAGUCUGAACUGUACAGUUCACCUGCAGGAUGAUGGAACUGCUCUGUAUAAGAUCAGUGAACUUCCAAAGCCCAACUGUGAUGCUGACUGGGCUAUCGACGGUACAGUUGUUGCCUAUGAGGGACACGUCAACGAAACUCUAGUGCAGCUGCUCACACAAGACUCUCUUCGUCUCAUUCACCGUUAUCCUAAUGUCACUUAUACAGUGGACUGUGAAAAGGGGCUCGUUGAAGUCUCCUGCAAUGGCCCUGCCUCUUCAAGUCUGAGGGAGGCUCCACAUGAUGCCAACCAGCGAAGUCGGGGAGCCAUUUUGGCUGGUGGUGUCAUUGCCCUCCUUGUCCUCCUAUCAGUUGGUGUCUGCUGGUGGAAAAAUAAGGGAUGUGGCCGCAGCAGUCAUGAGAUGGUGUGAGCCAGCCAACCUCCAUUUUAACGGUGCCAGUACCCUCGGGUCCAACCUCUCCAUCUGGUCUUUUCUUUCCGUUUUUCAAUGUUUGUCAUGUCACUUUUUUAGGAGGCUAAUGCUUAGGUACUGCGUUUCAUGUAUUUAAACUGCAAUGGUUUAGUGAAAUGCACAGGGUACUAUGUGCUAUGCAGCGCUGCUUUGUAAGAUAUAUUAUGCACAUAGUGUUCAAUAUAUUACAUGCUACUAGCAAGCAUUCAUCACAUCUGAUGAAGUGGCUCAUUACUAAGAAGGGCUGUUUUCUCAGUACUGUAAAUGCCAUACAACAACAGUGGUCAAAAGCAGACAGAAAGAGGCACGUUAAGGCACUGAGUUUGUAUUUCAGAUUAGCUUGUAUUUUAGCUUAAAGGUUAAAGGUUGAAAUUACUUUGUAGGGAGUGUGUGUGUGUGUGUGUGUGUGUGUGUGUGUGUCUGUGUGUGUCUGUGUGAAGUAGCAGAAAAUGCAUUACAGAAAAUCCCCUUGGAUAAUAUUAUGAACCGUGAAGGUAGAGUGAUGACAAAAGGGUAGACAAUCUCCUAUGCAGCAAAGGUUGCCAGUCAGUCACCAGCCUUUGAGCUGUGGAAGCGUCAAAGCUGUGCCAGUGAGCACACAAUGAGUUAAAGCCUUUAGUGUAAAUCAGUUCUGUUUCUAUUCAAGAUAGCAUAGCAUAUUAACUUUUGAUUCACAGUUAUCAACAUGGAUAACUCCAGCUUUACUCUGGGCUUUAACAAUGAAUUAAACCUUUUAGUGUAAAUCAGUACUAUUUCUAAUCAACAUAGAUGAGAUUGUAGUGUAAGAAAACUGUUCUGGGCAGUAUGUGCCAGGAGCAUCUUUACAAGGAGUAAACUGCAGUGCUUCUUUUGUUGUUCAAAACAAUUACAUUUGCUGUAGCUUGUCAGACAUGUUUUAUAUACCCUAGCCAUAUCCAUUUGAACUGAAUGUUAUAUUGUUAAUCAAGGUGUGUGAUUUUGAGCCUGUAAAAAAGAGGCUCCUAUGCUGCCAAUGUUGCCAGUCAGUCACCAGCUUUUGAGCUGUGGAAGCCUCAAAGCUGUGCCAGUGUGCACACAAUGGGCCUCAUUCUCGAACAUUUUCUGAAGUUUCUUCUAAAAUGUUUCUUACAGGCUUCGGAAAAACAAUGUAAGGAAAAGACAUCUGCCAAAUUCAUAAACGCUUGAAAAUGUGUUC